rnacentral:rRNA from 1 species
CUACGGGUUGCACCAGUGGGGAAUAUUGCACAAUGGGCGAAAGCCUGAUGCAGCAACGCCGCGUGAGGGACGACGGCCUUCGGGUUGUAAACCUCUUUUAGCAGGGAAGAAGCGAAAGUGACGGUACCUGCAGAAAAAGCACCGGCUAACUACGUGCCAGCAGCCGCGGUAAUACGUAGGGUGCAAGCGGUUGUCCGGAAUUAUUGGGCGUAAAGAGCUCGUAGGCGGUUUGUCGCGUCUGCUGUGAAGAUCCGAGGCUCAACCUCGGACCUGCAGUGGGUACGGGCAAACUAGAGUGCGGUAGGGGAGAUUGGAAUUCCUGGUGUAGCGGUGGAAUGCGCAGAUAUCAGGAGGAACACCAAUGGCGAAGGCAGAUCUCUGGGCCGUAACUGACGCUGAGGAGCGAAAGCGUGGGGAGCGAACAGGAUUAGAUACCCUGGCAGUC